ACGGUGGGUUUAACUUUUCAUGAAUAUCCGCCUUGAAGUUAACCCUUUAGCUAUGGGAUUGUAUCCCCUUUUGCUUAGACAGAGGGUAAGUUGAGGUUCAAGGGAACGAAAAAGGACAAAACCCAAAGAAGAGACAACCAAAACAAACAGCAACGGCCGUUGGACGAGGAUGAUGAAUAUUCGACAAUUGAAGGUCAGAAGCGUACAUCGAGGAGGGCGCAGAUGGAAACCGGGCGGAAUGCAAACUGCACUCAACUGCAAAAACUACCUAAACCUCGCCCAAUCGACCUCCACGAGCCCAGAGGCGAGUUAGCGCGAAGAGCCAAACGAGAUCUCUUACUGACUUCUCUCCUUGUAUGACCCUCGAUUUUUUUUUCGGAAUUAAAGCGCUAACGUACUAUGCAGUGGCUACGACAUUUAUAUACUAGUCCUUUUUUUUUUCUCUCUUAACUCAAAUUAUGCUUUUCAAUCUUUACGAACUACCCACCAACCAGUGAAUAUAACAAUCGCUAUUUAAAUAAAGCCCCACUUAGACCUACGUUUCGUACCGUCACUGAUAUGACAAGAAAAGCUUUUCGAAGUAAAAGUUCCAAGCUCCGAAGCAGCAGGAAAGAUGGAGAUUCAUUCACAAUGCAAUUCGAUCAACGAAGCUAUCACUCAAGAUUACAAAUGAAAAAAAAAUCCUUCUUUUUCGUUGCUCUUUACAAUUUCAAUCCUUUCAUUGUCUAUCACUUUCGGCAUCUUUUUUCCCCUUAAAAAGUGUCUCCGGUCAGCGAUAGCGGGCACGCGUGAAAUUUAUGGCCUGCCACUGGCAAAAAAACCCAUUUAACGAUUUAUACACUUUGCAUUAAGUUUUGGUCCCACGGCCAAACUGAAAAUCUA